GUCCCCAUCGUCUAGUCCGGUCCAGGACACCGCCCUUUCACGGCGGUAACACGAGUUCAAAUCUCGUUGGGGACG
rnacentral:tRNA from 1 species